CUGGACCAGUUAUUCUCUGUGCAGCUGCAGCAGACCAGUUUCACUUCAGUCAAACUGAGGGAGGUUUUUGUACGGCUCUAAAUCACUGUGUGAACUUUCCAUCGCCAAGAGUACCAGCACAGUAAUAAUCUCCAACAUCUUCAGCCUGAACACCUCUGAUGGUUAAGGUGUAGCUAGAACCAGAGCCACUGCCACUGAAUCGAGAGGGAGUUCCUGAAUAUAGAGUUGAUGUAUAGUAUAUAAGAAGCUUGGGAGCCUGUCCAGGUUUCUGCUGGUACCAGGACAAUACAUCACCACUACUACUCCUCCAAACACUGGGGUUGGUGUUACAGGUCAGUGUGACAGUGGAUCCUGGAGUAAAUGUCACGACUGGAGGCUGAGUCACAGUCAUCUGGCCGCUGCAUCCUGCACACAAACACAAAUCAUACAUUAAUCAGCGGAGGUGAAGAGAGAGAACAGGCAGCGCAUCAUGUCUGAAAUGUUGCUGAGUGACUGAACCUGUGAAGCUGCAGCAGGCCAGCGUCCAGAUGAGGAGGGUGAUGAGAGUCAUGGUGGUUGUGGUGGACUGACGGGUCUGAGUCCUGCAGAGUUGGAGUCACAGGACUAUAAAGCUUCUCAGUUCAGUGGAGGAUCAGCUGACGAUGCAAAGCCUCCUCUCUAUGGAAAUGAUUCCUCUGCUCUGAGCGGACUGAAGGUGACGUGGGACACAAACUCAGGAGCGUUGCUGUUUGGAUUUACACUAAAUAUGAAGAAGCACAAUUGAGGGUCGUCAGCAUAUGGAUUUAAAUUGUGUCACUUUCAUUGAUGCAAAUAUGUGUAUUUCAUUCCCAUUGAAUUACAGAUGGGUGUGGUGCGGCCCACCCUGACCCUCCUCCCCCCCUCCAGUGAAGAGCUGAAGCAAGGCACUGCCACUCUGGUGUGUAUGGCCAGCGGGGGCUUCCCCUCAGCCUGGAGCCUGGGCUGGAAGGUGGGGGGCAGCAGCAGGUCCUCAGGGGUGUCUCACAGCCAGGGGGUCCUGGGGGGGGCCGGCCACUACAGCUGGAGCAGCACCAUGAGCCUCCCUGCAGACCAGUGGAGGAAGGCGGGCUCAGUGAGCUGUGAGGCCAGUCUGGAUGGACAGAGCCCUGUCACUCAAACCCUGGACCCUGACCUCUGCUCAGAGUAGAGAGACGACCGGAUGGAGUCAUUGUGCUCUACUGUGGGUCUGUUUGAUUUACAUGUGUUCUACUGCAGCUCUGCAUGUCUUCAUGUCUUUUCUUCCACUCAUUAUGACAGUCCAAUGCUGUAUUGUGCUACGUUUAAAAUAAGAAUAAAUAUUUCAUAUUCUCAUGUCAUUUGUUUUUCACAUUUCUACUAAAAUAAAGUAUAUCAUCACCAA